rnacentral:rRNA from 1 species
CGCGGCCUAUCAGCUUGUUGGUGAGGUAAUGGCUCACCAAGGCAACGACGGGUAGCUGGUCUGAGAGGACGAUCAGCCACACUGGAACUGAGACACGGUCCAGACUCCUACGGGAGGCAGCAGCAGGGAAUCUUGCGCAAUGGGCGAAAGCCUGACGCAGCGACGCCGCGUGGGGGAUGAAGGCCUUCGGGUUGUAAACCCCUUUCAGGAGGGAAGAAAAUGACGGUACCUCCAGAAGAAGCCCCGGCCAACUACGUGCCAGCAGCCGCGGUAAUACGUAGGGGGCGAGCGUUGUCCGGAUUUAUUGGGCGUAAAGGGCUCGUAGGCGGCUUGACAAGUCGGCCGUGAAAACCCAGGGCUCAACCCUGGGAGGCCGGUCGAUACUGUCAUGGCUAGGGUCCGGUAGAGGAGAAUGGAAUUCCCGGUGUAGCGGUGAAAUGCGCAGAUAUCGGGAGGAACACCAGUAGCGAAGGCGGUUCCCUGGGCCGGUACCGACGCUGAGGAGCGAAAGCGUGGGGAGCAAACAGGAUUAGAUACCCUGGUAGUCCACGCCGUAAACGGUGGGUACUAGGUGUGGCGUCUUUAUCAACGGAUGCCGUGCCAAAGCUAACGCAUUAAGUACCCCGCCUGGGGAGUACGG